rnacentral:rRNA from 1 species
GACGAACGCUGGCGGCGUGCUUAACACAUGCAAGUCGAACGGAAAGGCCCUGCUUUUGUGGGGUGCGCGAGUGGCGAACGGGUGAGUAACACGUGAGUAACCUGCCCUUGACUUUGGGAUAACUUCAGGAAACUGGUGCUAAUACCGGAUAGGAGCUCCUGCUGCAUGGUGGGGGUUGGAAAGUUUCGGCGGUUGGGGAUGGACUCGCGGCUUAUCAGCUUGUUGGUGGGGUAGUGGCUUACCAAGGCUUUGACGGGUAGCCGGCCUGAGAGGGUGACCGGCCACAUUGGGACUGAGAUACGGCCCAGACUCCUACGGGAGGCAGCAGUGGGGAAUAUUGCACAAUGGGCGGAAGCCUGAUGCAGCAACGCCGCGUGCGGGAUGACGGCCUUCGGGUUGUAAACCGCUUUCGCCUGUGACGAAGCGUGAGUGACGGUAAUGGGUAAAGAAGCACCGGCUAACUACGU